rnacentral:lncRNA from 1 species
GGCUGACAAAUACCUUCUGUGGGAUGACAAACAUACAGUUUACUCUACAGGACUCUCAUUCAUUGUUUAACACGUUAGUUGUGGUAUUCAAAAUAGAACUGUCAAUGACAGUAGAAAAAUCAAUUUAGAUUUACAGCAACAAGUUUAAGUUGGAUUGACAACCUAGAAAUCGGCAUUUAACAGAAUUGUGCAAUCGGCCAACAAAAAAAUGUAAGUUAAGUAUAUUG